GUGCUCCCUUCGGCAGCACAUAUACUAAAAUUGGAAUGACACAGAAAAGAUUAGCAGGGCCCCUGCCCAAGGAUGACACACACAAUCAUGAAGCAUUCCACAUUUUU